rnacentral:rRNA from 1 species
GAUGAUCCCGCGUUGUAUUAGCUAGUUGGUGAGGUAAAGGCUCACCAAGGCGAUGAUACAUAGCCGACCUGAGAGGGUGAUCGGCCACAUUGGGACUGAGACACGGCCCAAACUCCUACGGGAGGCAGCAGUAGGGAAUCUUCGGCAAUGGGGGCAACCCUGACCGAGCAACGCCGCGUGAGUGAAGAAGGUUUUCGGAUCGUAAAGCUCUGUUGUAAGUCAAGAACGGGUGUGAGAGUGGAAAGUUCACACUAUGACGGUAGCUUACCAGAAAGGGACGGCUAACUACGUGCCAGCAGCCGCGGUAAUACGUAGG